rnacentral:lncRNA from 1 species
UGCAGUUGAACCUCUGGUAUCCAUUAUAGCAGAGAAGACCGUUUAAAAGAGGCAACAUCGAGAUCUCUCACUGCCAAAGGCUACUGAAUAGAAUAUACUUGCAAAUGGACCUAUUUUCUCUUCUUUACUUUGAAAUUUAGUGCUAAUGGAAGUUGAUGGGAUUGUCAAAUAUCUUGGGUUGGAUCUCUCCACUGAGAAAAAAAGGUAAAUAAUUCACUUUUUUAUAGGAGGAUUAACUCUUGCAGACCAUAAAGAAUCAGCUCCUUUAAUCC